rnacentral:rRNA from 1 species
UACGAAGGGGGCUAGCGUUGUUCGGAAUUACUGGGCGUAAAGAGCACGUAGGCGGCGCGUUUAGUCAGAGGUGAAAUCCCAGGGCUCAACCUUGGAAUUGCCUUUGAUACUGGCGUGCUAGAGUCCGAGAGAGGGUGGCGGAAUUCCCAGUGUAGAGGUGAAAUUCGUAGAUAUUGGGAAGAACACCGGUGGCGUAGGCGGCCACCUGGCUCGGCACUGACGCUGAGGUGCGAAAGCGUGGGGAGCAAACAGGAUUAGAAACCCCAGUAGU